CUUAGUUGAUUCUGCUAGUAGUUAUAUACUUAUCUUAAAAAUUAAGUUAUAUAUAUCUAAGUAUAAGUAAUUAUAUAGCGAAACUGUAAAUAAUUUAUUAUAUAAGUUAUUAUUUAUUUAAUAGUAUCUUACUAUUUAGAUAAUUAUAGUAAUUCUAAAGUUAAUAUAUACUAAAAAUUCCGACUUCAGAAAAAAUAUAUUUAUUAAAUUAAAAACUAAUACUUUUUAGAGCUUACUAGUGAUUUAUAAUAACUUCUCGAAUUGUAUAACCUUAUAUUAGUGAUAGUUUAUUUAAAUUUCUUCCCUAUUAAUUUUUAAUAUUAGAGUAGUAUUCUAGUAUAGUUAUAAUGGGUAAUAGAGGGUUAGGGCUUAACUCCAGAGAAGAAGCCUGAGAAAUAGCUACUAUAUCUAAAGAAGGUAGCAGGCAUGCAAAUUACCUAAUCCUAAUAUAGAGAAAUAGUAACGAUAAAUACUAAUACAGAGCUCUUUUAGGUCUUAUAAUUAGAAUAAGUAUAAUUUAAAUCCCUUAAUGAGGAAUAAUUAAAAGGUAAGUCUAAUACUAGUAGCUGUAAUAAUUCUAGCUUUAAUAGUAUAUAUUAAAAUUGUUAUAGUUAAAAAGCUUGUAGUAGAACCUUAAGCCUGGCUAGCCGGUCCACCUUACUGCAUGCACUGGUCUGGCUGGACCUUUCCCUCUGUGGAACUGCAUACCCUUCACUAGGUAUACCAAAGAAACAGAACUUUUACUUUAAAAAAAUUAGAAUACUUUAGGUAGAUCUAUAUUUAAAUAUAUUAGUAUAGAAUAAUAAAAUAGGAUGUAUAAUUCUAUUUUAUUAGUUUCUAGGACCGCUAUAAUAAUUAAUAGGGAUAGUUAAGAGUAUUAAUAUUUAAUUAUCAGAAGUGAAAUUCUUAGAUUUAUUAAAGACUAACUACUACAAAAGUAUUUACUAAAGAUAUUUUUAUUUAUUAGGAAUGAAAAUUAGAAGAUCAAAAACAAUCAAAUACUAUCGUAGUCUUAACUAUAAACUAUACUAACUAGAGAUCAGAUAAUAUUAUUUUUUAACUCAUUCAGCAUCUUAUGAGAAAUCAAAGUGCUUAAGCUCCAGGGGGAGUAUAGUUGCAAGGCUGAAACUUAAAGAAAUUGAUGGAAAGGCACUACUAGGGGUAAAUAGUAAUUAUUUAAGCUCUAUUCCAGACAGCGAGCCUAUAAAGAAUCUAGUAGCCAGCCCUGAAUCACUAGUCACCCCAGCAGUAGUGAUAUCCCCUAAUUGCGGGAAACCCUCAGAGGGUAGCAUUCCCAAGCAGCGCUCGAAAGAGACGCUAUAGCAGCAGCGUAACAGCUGCCAGUAUAGAGACAAUAUGCUACUUAUAAGGUAACUUGCAGCCAAACCCCUAACCAUAGGGAAGAUUUAGAGACUCGAUGGAGAUAAGUAACGCCCCCAGGCGCCACUUAAAAUAGAGUCUAUACUUACUCGAGAGAGUGGAGACUAACUAGCAUAUUACCUGAAAAGGGAGUCUGCAGCUUAAUUUAACUUAACAUAAGGAAACUCACCAGAUCCAGACAUAAUAAAAAUUAACAGAUUAAAAGUUCUUUCUUAAUUUUAUAGGUAAUAGUGUAUAGCUAUUCUUAGUUAGUAGAGUAAUUUGUCUGCUUAAUUAUAAUAACGAAUGAGACCUUAACCUACUAAAUAGCCUAUAUUACUUUAAUAGUAUACUAACUUCUUAGAGGGACUAUCAGCUCAAGCUAAUAGAAGUUUAAAACAAUAAUAGGUUAAUUUUUAUAAGCUUGUAACAGUAAG
rnacentral:rRNA from 1 species